rnacentral:rRNA from 1 species
CGGAGGAAAAGAAACUAACAAGGAUUCCCCUAGUAGCGGCGAGCGAAGCGGGAAGAGCUCAAAUUUAUAAUCUGGCACCUUCGGUGUCCGAGUUGUAAUCUCUAGAAGUGUUUUCCGCGUUGGACCGCACACAAGUCUGUUGGAAUACAGCGGCAUAGUGGUGAAACCCCCGUAUAUGGUGCGGACGCCCAGCGCUUUGUGAUACACUUUCAAUGAGUCGAGUUGUUUGGGAAUGCAGCUCAAAUUGGGUGGUAAAUUCCAUCUAAAGCUAAAUAUUGGCGAGAGACCGAUAGCGAACAAGUACCGUGAGGGAAAGAUGAAAAGCACUUUGGAAAGAGAGUUAACAGUACGUGAAAUUGUUGGAAGGGAAACGCUUGAAGUCAGACUUGCUUGCCGGAGCUUGCUUCGGUUUGCAGGCCAGCAUCAGUUUUCCGGGGUGGAUAAUGACGGUUUGAAGGUAGCAGUCUCGGCUGUGUUAUAGCUUUCCGUUGGAUACAUCCUGGGGGACUGAGGAACGCAGCGUGCUUUUUGCGAAAGACUCGUCUUUUUCACGCUUAGGAUGCUGGUGGAAUGGCUUUAAACGAC